GCAUUAACCCAAAAAUAAAAGAAGCAAAUGAGUGUCGUCGCUGUUUCUGUAAAACAUGUGUGUUCUUCGUUGAUCUUCCUUCGGCGGCGACGGUGACGAUCGAGUGUCGUCGCUGUUUCUGUAACAGUUCGCGUUAUUGUUUCUAUGUGUUUAAUCUCAUUAAUUCAGACGUCCACUACAGAUUCUUCAAUGCGUUGUUUUCUUCGGCUAGAUCUAUGAUAUCGGGUAUAAAUAGCAUACCGAGAAGAAGUACAAGUAUGUUGGUGUGAAAACGAAGAGACUAUAAAGAGAAAGGAUGAGGAAAAUAGAAUGAAGACAUGGAGAAAUCAAAGAAAUCACUUUUAGUAAAAGACUGUUGGAGUUUUGUCAGAUGAUGUUUCUAAGUUUUUGAUCGUGCUCACCACUACUCAGUUUUGGGCAAGCAUGGCUUAUCUCAGCCGAGAAUAUUGAAAAAGGUAAUGCUUUUUAUUUCUUCAUUGAGAUGAAUAACUCUCUACCUUUAUCAGUUAUCAUAUACUUUUGUAACCAAGAAAAACGUAUAUUGAGUUUGCAAGCUUUGUGAGGAGAUGCUGGACCAUCACGAAAUGUAUGGAGAAUGAGAUAGUAGUUGAAGCUUUCAUGAUCUUCAGAACCCAUACAAGGCAAUGAUUGUGGUUCAUCAUUUGUAUCGGUGCAUCAAGGUCCUCCAUCUUUGAUCUCCCUAGCUGUUUCCAUUGGGACUUAAACAAGCCACUAAUUAUGGCUGACAAAGAGUUGGAAGCAAGGGGGUAGGACUAGGAAGUGCUGCAGCUCCUUAUGUUAUUGUGGCAUAGGCAAAGUUGUUGACAUGAGCUGUUUCGGAAAUAAGGCUACACUGUUGUUAGAGCCAUAAUCUGGAGUAGAAACCCUUCCCAGAAUUUAAGAACACCGAUAAAGCAUUGAAGCUUGCUCUACUAUUCAGCUGCUGCAUCAAUAGCUUUUUGCUCAAUUGUUAAAUCCUGGAAAGAUAUUGAAGAAUGUAGAAUCCUAGACAGAUAUUGAAAAGAGUAGAAGUUUGUGUUGGAAGAGAGUGCAAGAAGUAAGGAAGAGUUGUAUUAUUGGAUGAGUUUCAGAGAUCAAUGACGGUCAUUGAAGGGUCUGCUGUGGCUUGCAAGUGCUUGGGGAAGAGAUGAGAUUGUCAAAGUGUUAAAGUAGUAACGAGUCUGAUCUGUGAUGACUUUCUGUUAAGGCCGUUUGUAUUGAAGUUGUGUUGCAAGAUGUGGAAAUUAUUGUGGUUAAAAGAUACUUUGUUUUUCUGUAUAACACGUCCUGUAGUAGAAACCCUUCAUAUGAUGUAAGAACACCCACAAAGCGUUGAAGCUUUCUCUAUAUA